UCCCAAGAGGCAACACUUUCAACACCUAUUUCGAGAAAACAAAUACAAGAAUUGAGAAGCGAUGGGAAUGAGGGGGGAGAUGGGAUGACUCUGGAUGUACACUCUCUGUCUCUUCCUCUCUCUCCAUCUCUCUAGG
ensembl:ncRNA R193.4 ncRNA